ensembl:lncRNA
UAUUAAUGUUGCAUAUGCUUUGAAAACCAUGAAUGGUAGUCCAAGACAGCAGACAGGACAAAAAUAAGAUCACUUGAAAACGUAAAGAUCCUCCGAAAGUUGAUAUAGCAUCUACUCAGUAUAAAUUAAUAUUUAGAGUUGAAAUGUUGCAAAUGGAGAAAAAAAAAGGCAAUGAACAUGUUUUUGAAGGCUGUGAAUGAAGAAAGAUGCUCUUUGCAGCAAGACGGUGUAGUUACGACAUCGUCCAGCAGGGGCUAAAAUAGACCUCACUGACCAGCUAAACCUCAACCACUUAACAACAACAACAACGAGCUCAGCAGCUUCACUCAUUACUGUAGUUCACACAUAAUUUCCUGAUUUCACACAUAACGCCUCUCAGCAUCAUACAGACGGUUUGUCGACUGUAGAGUUUGAUUCUCACCACAGGAGACCAGACGCAAACACACUGUCAACAUUUGCUUCUGUGUUUUUGUUUGUUUGUUUGUUUUAUAGUCGAGUCAUUCGUGGAGCUGCUCUCUGUCACUCGUGUAUCUGUCAAACCCUAAGAAUGAGCUUCUCACCAACAGUCUCUGUGUUUCCACUGAUGGUGAGCAGUUCAGUGUCUGUGUAUUAUAGUGAGAGGAACAGAGGGAGGACAAGUGAUAAUGAAUUGUCCUUAUGCUAAAUAUAAACUAAUCCAGCUGAAUGUGAUCAGAGCUCCAAAGAAAACAAGGCCUGUCCAGAUCUCAACCACCACCCUCCAUCCAGGUUCAUUUGUGAUUAUCAUCACUGCGGAGGCUUUGCUUUUACUCCUGAUAGGACUUCCAUUGAUUAUAGUGGCUGUAUGGAAGAAAAAGAAGAAUAAAGGUCUGCUGUCGUCCUCCGUCGAAGAGUUUAAUCCAGUGAUUUAUCGCGCUUAGGCCUACAUCAUGCAAAUCAUGAUAAAAAAUAACUCGCAUAACAAUCAUAAAAAAAUACAUCAAUAUUAAAUAGGAUUAGGGCCAAUCCUCACAAACGC